rnacentral:rRNA from 1 species
AUAUAUAUAUAUAUUUUUUUUAAAUACGCCCGAUCUCGUCCGAUCUCGGAAAAUAAGCAGGGUCGGGCCUGGUUAGUACUUGGAUGGGAGACCGCCUGGGAAUACCAGGUGCUGUAAGCU